rnacentral:tRNA from 1 species
GCCUGCAUGGCUCAGUUGGCAGUAGCGUAGGUCUCAUAUCCAAAGAGUUAUCCUGAGGUCGCAAGUUCGAGUCUUGCUGCAGGCA